rnacentral:rRNA from 1 species
AUUGAACGCUGGCGGCAUGCCUUACACAUGCAAGUCGAACGGUAGCGCGGGGUAACCUGGCGACGAGUGGCGAACGGGUGAGUAAUGCAUCGGAACGUGCCCUGGAAUGGGGGAUAACGUAGCGAAAGUUACGCUAAUACCGCAUAUUCUGUGAGCAGGAAAGCAGGGGAUCGCAAGACCUUGCGUUCUGGGAGCGGCCGAUGUCGGAUUAGCUAGUUGGUGGGGUAAAGGCCUACCAAGGCGACGAUCCGUAGCGGGUCUGAGAGGAUGAUCCGCCACACUGGGACUGAGACACGGCCCAGACUCCUACGGGAGGCAGCAGUGGGGAAUAUUGGACAAUGGGCGAAAGCCUGAUCCAGCAAUGCCGCGUGUGUGAAGAAGGCCUGCGGGUUGUAAAGCACUUUCAGUAGGAAGAUUAUGACGGUACUACAGAAGAAGCACCGGCUAACUCCGUGCCAGCAGCCGCGGUAA